rnacentral:rRNA from 1 species
UUAACUCGAAGUUUACUUUGAGAGCGGUUAGUGGCGGACUGGUGAGUAACACGUAAGCAACCUGCCUAUCAGAGGGGAAUAACAGUGAGAAAUCAUUGCUAAUACCGCAUAUGCUCACAGUACCACAUGGUACAGUGAGGAAAGGAGCAAUCCGCUGAUAGAUGGGCUUGCGUCUGAUUAGCUAGUUGGUGGGGUAACGGCCUACCAAGGCAACGAUCAGUAGCCGGACUGAGAGGUUGAACGGCCACAUUGGGACUGAGAUACGGCCCAGACUCCUACGGGAGGCAGCAGUCGGGAAUAUUGCGCAAUGGAGGAAACUCUGACGCAGUGACGCCGCGUAUAGGAAGAAGGUUUUCGGAUUGUAAACUAUUGUCGUUAGGGAAGAAAAAGGACAGUACCUAAGGAGGAAGCACCGGCUAACUAUGUGCCAGCAGCCGCGGUAAUACAUAGGGUGCAAGCGUUAUCCGGAAUUAUUGGGUGUAAAGGGUGCGUAGACGGGAAGGCAAGUUGGUUGUGAAAUCCCUCGGCUCAACUGAGGAACUGCAACCAAAACUACAUUUCUUGAGUGUCGGAGAGGAAAGUGGAAUUCCUAGUGUAGCGGUGAAAUGCGUAGAUAUUAGGAGGAACACCAGUGGCGAAGGCGACUUUCUGGACGAUAACUGACGUUGAGGCACGAAAGUGUGGGGAGCAAACAGG